UACGGAGGGGGCGAGCGUUACUCGGAAUUAUUGGGCGUAAAGGGCGCGUAGGCGGCUUGGCAAGUCAAAGGUGAAAUCCCUCGGCUCAACUGAGGAACUGCCUUUGAAACUGCCUGGCUUGAGGCCGGGAGGGGGUAGCGGAAUUCCCAGUGUAGCGGUGAAAUGCGUAGAUAUUGGGAGGAACACCAGUGGCGAAGGCGGCUACCUGGACCGGUUCUGACGCUGAUGCGCGAAAGCGUGGGUAGCAAACAGG
rnacentral:rRNA from 1 species